rnacentral:rRNA from 1 species
AUUGAACGCUGGCGGCAGGCCUAACACAUGCAAGUCGAGCGGAGCGGCGGACGGGUGAGUAAUACCUAGGAAUCUGCCUGGUAGUGGGGGAUAACGUUCGGAAACGGACGCUAAUACCGCCUACUACCCGAUGAGCCUAGGUCGGAAUAGCUAGUUGGUGAGGUAAUGGCUCACCAAGGCUACGAUCCGUAACUGGUCUGAGAGGAUGAUCAGUGAAACGGGAAAUGAGACACGGUCCAGACUCCUACGGGAGGCAGCAGUUGGGAAGAUUGGACAAUGGGCGAAAGCCUGAUGCAGCCAUGCCGCGUGUGGGAAGAAGGUCUUCAGAUUGUAAAGCACUUUAAGUUGGGAGGCGUUACCGACAGAAUAUGCACCUGCUAACGCUGUUCCAGCAGCCGCGGUAAUAC